rnacentral:rRNA from 1 species
CAGAGGGGGCAAGCGUUGUUCGGAAUUACUGGGCGUAAAGGGCGCGUAGGCGGCCUGCUAAGUCGAACGUGAAAUCCCUGGGCUCAACCCAGGAACUGCGUCCGAUACUGGUUGGCUUGAAUCCGGGAGAGGGAUGCGGAAUUCCAGGUGUAGCGGUGAAAUGCGUAGAUAUCUGGAGGAACACCGGUGGCGAAGGCGGCAUCCUGGACCGGCAUUGACGCUGAGGCGCGAAAGCCAGGGGAGCAAACGGGAUUAGAUACCCCGGUAGUCCUGGCCCUAAACGAUGAAUGCUUGGUGUGGCGGGUAUCGAUCCCUACCGUGCCGAAGCUAACGCAUUAAGCAUUCCGCCUGGGGAGUACGGUCGCAAGGCUG